rnacentral:rRNA from 1 species
GGCGGCAGGCUUAACACAUGCAAGUCGAGCGGUAGCAGAUCUAGCUUGCUAGAUGCUGACGAGCGGCGGACGGGUGAGUAACGCGUAGGAACCUGCCCAGUAGUGGGGGAUAGCCCGGGGAAACUCGGAUUAAUACCGCAUACGCUCUACGGAGGAAAGAGGGGCUUCGGGCUCUCGCUAUUGGAUGGGCCUGCGUGAGAUUAGCUAGUUGGUGAGGUAAUGGCUCACCAAGGCGACGAUCUCUAGCUGGUCUGAGAGGAUGAUCAGCCACACUGGGACUGAGACACGGCCCAGACUCCUACGGGAGGCAGCAGUGGGGAAUAUUGCACAAUGGGCGCAAGCCUGAUGCAGCCAUGCCGCGUGUGUGAAGAAGGCUUUCGGGUUGUAAAGCACUUUCAGUGGGGAGGAAGGCCUCGUAGUUAAUAGCUGCGGGGAUUGAUGUUACCCACAGAAGAAGCACCGGCUAACUCCGUG